GGGGAACUGAAACAUCUAAGUACCCCGAGGAAAAGAAAUCAACCGAGAUUCCCCCAGUAGCGGCGAGCGAACGGGGAGCAGCCCAGAGCCUGAAUCAGUAUGUGUGUUAGUGGAAGCGUCUGGAAAGGCGCGCGAUACAGGGUGACAGCCCCGUACACAAAAAUGCACAUGCUGUGAGCUCGAUGAGUAGGGCGGGACACGUGGUAUCCUGUCUGAAUAUGGGGGGACCAUCCUCCAAGGCUAAAUACUCCUGACUGACCGAUAGUGAACCAGUACCGUGAGGGAAAGGCGAAAAGAACCCCGGCGAGGGGAGUGAAAAAGAACCUGAAACCGUGUACGUACAAGCAGUGGGAGCACGCUUAGGCGUGUGACUGCGUACCUUUUGUAUAAUGGGUCAGCGACUUAUAUUCUGUAGCAAGGUUAACCGAAUAGGGGAGCCGAAGGGAAACCGAGUCUUAACUGGGCGUUAAGUUGCAGGGUAUAGACCCGAAACCCGGUGAUCUAGCCAUGGGCAGGUUGAAGGUUGGGUAACACUAACUGGAGGACCGAACCGACUAAUGUUGAAAAAUUAGCGGAUGACUUGUGGCUGGGGGUGAAAGGCCAAUCAAACCGGGAGAUAGCUGGUUCUCCCCGAAAGCUAUUUAGGUAGCGCCUCGUGAAUUCAUCUCCGGGGGUAGAGCACUGUUUCGGCAAGGGGGUCAUCCCGACUUACCAACCCGAUGCAAACUGCGAAUACCGGAGAAUGUUAUCACGGGAGACACACGGCGGGUGCUAACGUCCGUCGUGAAGAGGGAAACAACCCAGACCGCCAGCUAAGGUCCCAAAGUCAUGGUUAAGUGGGAAACGAUGUGGGAAGGCCCAGACAGCCAGGAUGUUGGCUUAGAAGCAGCCAUCAUUUAAAGAAAGCGUAAUAGCUCACUGGUCGAGUCGGCCUGCGCGGAAGAUGUAACGGGGCUAAACCAUGCACCGAAGCUGCGGCAGCGACGCUGAUGCGUUGUUGGGUAGGGGAGCGUUCUGUAAGCCUGCGAAGGUGUGCUGUGAGGCAUGCUGGAGGUAUCAGAAGUGCGAAUGCUGACAUAAGUAACGAUAAAGCGGGUGAAAAGCCCGCUCGCCGGAAGACCAAGGGUUCCUGUCCAACGUUAAUCGGGGCAGGGUGAGUCGACCCCUAAGGCGAGGCCGAAAGGCGUAGUCGAUGGGAAACAGGUUAAUAUUCCUGUACUUGGUGUUACUGCGAAGGGGGGACGGAGAAGGCUAUGUUGGCCGGGCGACGGUUGUCCCGGUUUAAGCGUGUAGGCUGGU
rnacentral:rRNA from 1 species